rnacentral:lncRNA from 1 species
UCUUUCUUUCCUUGCAUUGAAAGAUAUGGAUAUUGUUGGGAGAAAGAGAAGGUGUUUCUGUUCCACUCUACAUCUUCUUCUUCUGACUUUCUUCAUUGCCAUACUUCUACAAAGAGGUACUGUGGCUGAAUCAUCCAGCAUCCAAAACUACACAAGGUAUAGACAAAUUAGUAGCUUGAGGCUUGAAAGGAUUAAUAAGCACUUGGAAAAGAUUAACAAGCCUCCUGUUCUCACCAUUGAGGUAAUGUUAUUUAUUGCCAUUAAUUAAUGUUUCAAAUAAUGUGUGUUUGUUUGUGUAUGUGAUAGUGGUUGAGAUUUUAAUGAUCAUGCACACAAAAUAAAAUGUUCUACUUUUCCUUCAUUUUUUUUGUUAAUAAGGUUUUUUUAAUUAUCUUUUCUUGGUUGGUAUUAUUAAUUUCAGAGCCCAGAUGGAGAUCUUAUAGAUUGUGUCCACAAAAGAAAACAACUAGCUUUGGAUCACCCACUUUUAAAGAAUCACAAGAUCCAGGUACAACUAUUGGAAAGUUGACUAUUGAAUAUGAUUUGAUAAUUAAUGUAAUAUUACUAGUUUUUUUUUUUGUGUUUAACAUGUCUUUAUAAAAUGGACUUGUUAAAUAAAGAAGGUCAAUGUUUAUAAACUUUUUAAACUUUAUAUCUUCUAAAUGUAUGACUUGAUUUUUUUUUUUCAACACAGAAAGUACCAAGUGAAAUGCCAAGAGGUAUGAAAAUGGAGAGAGAUGAGAAUGUUGAUAGUG